rnacentral:lncRNA from 1 species
UUCUGGAACAAGGUCUGUGAAUGUGAAAGGCUGGGACAAGGGGAGUGAGCAACUGGUCAGAAUGCAGAAAGUCAGGCUGCCUUCCUGACCUGGGCCAUAAAGGGGUCUUACAGGACAUUUUGAUAAGAAAUAAUCUAGAAGGAAAUUGUUCUUAGCUUUGGAGACUGAGUAGAUAUGGGUCUGUAUGUUUUAAAUGAAGUUGUGAUUAUUUAGUUGACUAAGAUUUUAUGUAGCACAUAAAUGCUUAUGAAAAAAUAAAUGUUUAAAAGACAGUGAAUGUUACAGACAUAGUGGAUGUCUGAGAGCCUGAUAAAUCACUG